rnacentral:rRNA from 1 species
GGCAGAGGCCCCGAGCGUUAGGCGGAAUCACUGGGCUUAAAGCGUGUGUAGGCGGAUCGUUAAGUGCCUCGUGAAAUCCCACGGCUCACCCGUGGAACUGCCGGGCAUACUGGCGAUCUUGGGCCAUUCAGGGGCGACUGGAACAAGCGGUGGAGCGGUGAAAUGCGUAGAUAUCGCUUGGAACGCCGAAGGUGAAAACAGGUCGCUGGGAAUGUGCCGACGCUGAGACACGAAAGCCAGGGGAGCGAACGGG